AACGAACGCUGGCGGCAUGCCUAACACAUGCAAGUCGAACGAGACCUUCGGGUCUAGUGGCGCACGGGUGCGUAACGCGUGGGAACCUGCCCUUAGGUUCGGAAUAACUCCCCGAAAUGGGUGCUAAUACCGGAUAAUGUCUUCGGACCAAAGAUUUAUCGCCUUUGGAUGGGCCCGCGUUGGAUUAGCUAGUUGGUAGGGUAAAAGCCUACCAAGGCGACGAUCCAUAGCUGGUCUGAGAGGAUGAUCAGCCACACUGGGACUGAGACACGGCCCAGACUACUACGGGAGGCAGCAGUGGGGAAUAUAGGAAAAUGGGCGAAAGCAUGAUCCAGCAAUGCCGCGUGAGUGAUGAAGGCCUUAGGGUUGUAAAGCUCUUUUACCCGGGAUGAUAAUGACAGUACCGGGAGAAUAAGCUCCGGCUAACUCCGUG
rnacentral:rRNA from 1 species